CACACCGCCCGUCACACCAUGGGAGUUUGUUGCACCAGAAGCAGGUAGCUUAACCCUCGGGAGGGCGCUUGCCACGGUGUGGCCGAUGACUGGGGUG
rnacentral:rRNA from 1 species